UGCGGGGCUCAAACUCACAGACCGCAAGAUCAUGACCUGAGCCAAAGUUGGACGCUCAACUGACUGAGCCACCCAGGCGCCCCUCCCCCCCAAAAUUUUUUUUAAUACACAUUUUUAACUUAUGAUUAGAGCUUAAUUUCCAAGAACCUUUUUAUUUCCAAAUAAGAUAGGUGAUAUUGAUAGUGCUAUGGUUUUAGCAGCAAAUUUUUCUCUCCCAAUGAAAAUGUGGACUGUCGAUAUAUAACAGGUAAAAAUUGUGUUUAUGUUAACUCAAUAGAUAUGACCUCACCCCAAAAGAAGUUAUUCAAGACUUAAUAAUAAGCCUAAGAGUAGCAGCAUGAUUUUCUCACUUGCUGCUUAUUCUAUAUUUUUAAACAUGAUGAGGAAAGAGCUUUGGAUUCAGUCAGAUCUAGAUGUAAAUCUCAGCUUUGUGUGUGCCAUUAGUCCAACUACUUAACCAUUUGGGCUCAAUGUUUUCAGGUAAACGACAUAUUUGUAUAAAAUGCCUUGAAUGCUUAGAGUUCAGUGGAUGCUCAAAAUUGCAAUUACAUUAUUGCUUUGAAGAAGUUACAUUAAUUUGUGAUUUUUUUAAGUACUAAUUUACUUAGGAAUAGAAUUUAUUUUUGUCAAUAUAAUUUCCAAAGAAGCUUGUAGUGUUUAUUUAAAAAGUUUGUUUCUUUUUAAAAUACAUUAAAACAAAAUUUUGGAAUAAUUUACCCAGUUCCCAUGAACACCUCAUUUUUUACUCUAGGAUCAGGAAGGGAGAAAGAGAAAUAGGUGGAUUUCAGAGGACUUGGCUUCCACCAUUGCAAAGAAGGAAAAGGUACACCUGUGUAACCAUGCCACAUCUGUGCCAACAGAUUCCAGGGACACUGACUCUGGCGGUGUGACUAAUCCACUUAUGGACCCCAGUUGCUGUUACCAGAGGAAAGAUGGGGAAAGUGGCAGAGAAUUUAUAUAUGUGACAUAGAAUUUAUUUGCCAUACAGAAGAGGCAAGUGGAGGCUGCAGCCAGCUGUUGAUAGGGCAUCAUCAGUUCAGAUGCCAACACAAGUUCCUGUAAGGCAGUUCAUCAAACCAUGAUCUCCAACAAAACUCUGAGCCACAUCUUGUAGAAACCUGGGCUCCAUGGAGCCGCAGUGAAGAAACUCUAGGAAUUGCAAUACGCAUCUUUAAUUUGUCAUAGUCCACUACAACAGGACCUGUGAAGGUGUGGGACCCAAGACACAAAGAUGAUCCUGUUGCUAAUAUGGAACCUGUACAAGGUGAAAAUAAGAGUGGACUGUGGAAUUUGGUAAAUUAUUGAAGAACACUUGCAUUUGAUGUAUCAGAUGGUGAAAAGCACAGUCAGACUGUGCUUCAAGACGUCCCUAAUAGUCUCAUUAAUAAUCUGUGGAUUAUUCUAAUAGAUUAUUGAGCCAAAUAGAGAUGGUGGUUAAUGUCAGCCUCUGGCUCCUAGGUUUGAAUCCUCACUUUGUUAUUUCUUGGCUGAGUGAGGUGGGCAAUUUACUAAGCUUCUCUGUUUCUUAGUUUCUUCGUUUAUAAAAUGCAACUGAUAAUAAAAUUUACCUAAUAGUAUUAUGAGGAUUCGAUGAAUUAGUACAUGUAAAGUAUUAAAUUAUUAAGUGAUCAAAAAUAUUAUAUACUACUAUUAUAUACUUGGGUUUAAUGAGAUAAUGUGGACCUAGUUAGAGUCAAGUGCCAUUAAUGGAGCUAAGCAGGGUCUCAAACCUAACAAAUCUUACAUUACGCUCUACACAGAGGAUGUUUAUUUUCUACAACAUCGUUAUGCCAUUGCAGAAUUAUUUGUUGUAAUUUGACAACUGUAUUCCUCUGUUACUAUACUUAAAAUGAAUAUUGAUUUUGUAGGACUAAUUAAUGUGUGCCCUAGUAUCUCUUACUGAGAGCCAAAAUUGAAGUAAUUUUUGCUACUACAAAAAUUACUUAAAAAAUAAAAAGACUAGAGCCAGUGGACCAAACUAUAGCAUUUUGUACUAGAGAUUAGUUUUAUAGAUAAUAUUUAUCUUCUAUUUUCUAAAUUUUCUGUAAUGUGAUUUUUUUUAAUUAAUUUUUUUUUUAAUGGAUACAACUUGCAUGGAGAAGGAGAGGUAGUCCAAAUAGUAGAAAGUACAUAGAGUUAAAGGUGUGUUUAUGUGAAGAACAUGAGUCAUCUUUGGGUCAGCUGUUGAGUGGGAGCAGGAUGGUUUUGCAAGGGCGGAGAAGUGUAAAGAAACAAAACUCUGCCAUAUCAAAGGCAAUUCUCUCAACUCCUUGCCAAAGAGCUUGAGUUGUAAACCUGCUGGAUUACCUUAUGUAGUAGAAGAAUAACUGAAUCUGCCAUAGAGAGCCUUAAACAUUUUAUUGAAAAUUUCCAGAGGGGCCUGAGUGGCUCAGUUCAUUAAGCAUCCAACUCUUGAUUUCGGCUCAGGCCAGAAUCUCAUGGUCAUGAGACUGAGCCCUGAGAUUCUCUCU